AACAUCCAGUAAGUACAUGAGCACCUAGAUGCAGUAAAACAGCAAAACAAUUACUGAUAAAGGACAUAUUUUACUUACCUUCAGCUAUAUACAAUUGAAAUUCUAAAUUUAUAAUUGAAUUUUGGCCAGGUGCGCGAUAAAAAGGGAGCUUUUCUCAGAACACAUACAGACGUUAUUACAUACAUAUAUGAGUAUAUCAACAGAUAAAUAGAUAUAAAAAGCACAGCAAUCUCUUCUAGAAACAGGAUGUUACGCAUACUUUUAUUAUAAAGGGAAACGUACACAAAGUUAGCGGAUCCAAAUAUUUAACAUCUUAGUUACGGGAACCAAGAGGUGAUAUUAAUAAAGUGACUGCAGUUUUGAGUGCACGCUAGUUGUUAGGUCGAUAUGUUGUAAUAAAGUGCGAACAGAGUAAAGCGCCUAAAUGCAAUGCACUUGAAAGUAACAUGCUGUCGGACUGAUGCAAGAGAUAGUACUGUGGUAAAAUUUGACUGCAUACA